UUGUGCAAAGCGCUGCAGAUAAAGAGGCGAAAAGCCCCUGCUUCUAGAGCUCCAUGGGGUAGACAAGCAAACAAAUAUAUUCUAACAAGCUAUAUAUAGGUUAAGUGAGAAAUAAUUAAAAGAGGGAGGGCGCUAGUAUGAAGAGGAAUUGGGGGUGUCUUCCUGUAGACGAUGGGAAGCCAAUAGGCAGAGAUGAAGAGGGAGAACAUUUCAGGCAUGGGGGACGACCCGAGAAAAUGCUGGAAUAACAGUAUCUUGUUCUGGAACAUCAAGGAAGACGGUGUCUCUGGAUGAAGAGAAGAGUAUGAUUUUGACAUGCAUUCUGGGAGGGAAUGAGAUCACAGAUCCAUCGGAGUAUGGAAAGCUAACCUUAAAAGGUGCAACAUAUAAAUCUCCUCUGUUGAUUUAUUUGUGAACAGCAACAAUAAAUUGUCUCCCCCCAGUAAAAUGUAAA